UUAGAUGAAGGAAAAGUGACGAUUCUUGUGAUAACCGUGUAUGACUGUCAUCCUUUCCAAUUAACAGGCCACGGUUAUGUGCAAGAGUGCAUCAAGGAUUGCAUGUCAACUCCAAGGAGGUGACUGGUGGUCCCUUUUUCUAGACAAGGCAACUGGAUGACCUGGCUGAUAGUAGUACUGAAUCUGGAACUCAUCAAACCUGCUGUUUUUCAUGCCCUGCUUAGCAACCCAGGGGAGUGACUUGCCCAAGGUCCUACUGUAAAUGGAGUUGCUGGGAGCAGACCCUGAAUUCCUCAGCUCACCAUGGAGGCUCUAAUCACAAAGCCGGUAAGAAGAGGCCCUUGCUCUGGUUUGAAGCUCCCCACUGAGCACGUUCCGAGUUUCUGGUCUCAUUGGCACCGUGUGUUGAACUCAGCUGAAUUUUGAACCCCUCUUCAAUAGCAGGAAGACCGAGAGGAGCUACUGCACAUUCAAGGUCAGGAGGGGCAGCGGUGAGGAGAUACCCCUCAUCCAAGAUAAGGAGCAGCAGGUGCGCUUUGCUGGCAGCUGUGAAAAGAUACCCUAUGACCAAGGUAAGAGAAACCCAAGUAAGACAGUAGGUGUUGCGAGAGGGCAUCAGAGGGCAGACACACUGAAACCAUAAUCACAGAAAACUAGCCAAUCUGAUCACACGGACCACAGCCUUGUC
rnacentral:lncRNA from 1 species